ACGAUAUUAGAUACCUAUAGUGAAGACAUUCUUCACCUACUAUUCCUCAACCAUUCCUUUAAGUUCGAUCAUUUUUUUAAAAAUAUCUUAAGCAAUGAAUGUAAAGAUGCAAAUGUGUAUAUAAGAAUAUAAAAAGGACUACUCAUAAUAACAUGCACAAGCUAGAUCAGGAUUUUUAUUUAAUUAUGUCUCCCACUAAUUUAAUAAAUUUCAUAGCCCUCAAGUAUGAAAUUGAGGAAUCUUAUCAUAAUGAUCCUUAAUGGGGCUG
rnacentral:lncRNA from 1 species